UGGGGAAUUUUGGACAAUGGGCGAAAGCCUGAUCCAGCAAUGCCGCGUGUGUGAAGAAGGCCUUCGGGUUGUAAAGCACUUUUGUCCGGAAAGAAAUCCUUGGCUCUAAUACAGUCGGGGGAUGACGGUACCGGAAGAAUAAGCACCGGCUAACUACGUGCCAGCAGCCGCGGUAAUACGUAGGGUGCAAGCGUUAAUCGGAAUUACUGGGCGUAAAGCGUGCGCAGGCGGUUUGCUAAGACCGAUGUGAAAUCCCCGGGCUCAACCUGGGAACUGCAUUGGUGACUGGCAGGCUAGAGUAUGGCAGAGGGGGGUAGAAUUCCACGUGUAGCAGUGAAAUGCGUAGAGAUGUGGAGGAAUACCGAUGGCGAAGGCAGCCCCCUGGCCAAGUACUGACGCUCAUGCACGAAAGCGUGGGGGAGCAAACAGGAUUAGAUACCCUGGUAGUCCACGCCCUAAACGAUGUCAACUAGUUGUUGGGGAUUCAUUUCCUUAGUAACGUAGCUAACGCGUGAAGUUGACCGCCUGGGGAGUACGGUCGCAAGAUUAAAACUCAAAUGAAUUGAC
rnacentral:rRNA from 1 species